CCUACGGGUGGCAGCAGUGGGGAAUAUUGGACAAUGGGCGAAAGCCUGAUCCAGCCAUGCCGCGUGUGUGAAGAAGGCCUUCGGGUUGUAAAGCACAUUCAGUGGGGAAGAAAGCCUUGGGGCUAAUACCCUCGAGGAAGGACAUCACCCACAGAAGAAGCACCGGCUAACUCCGUGCCAGCAGCCGCGGUAAUACGGAGGGUGCGAGCGUUAAUCGGAAUUACUGGGCGUAAAGCGCGCGUAGGCGGUCUGAUAAGCCGGUUGUGAAAGCCCCGGGCUCAACCUGGGAACGGCAUCCGGAACUGUCAGGCUAGAGUGCAGGAGAGGAAGGUAGAAUUCCCGGUGUAGCGGUGAAAUGCGUAGAGAUCGGGAGGAAUACCAGUGGCGAAGGCGGCCUUCUGGACUGACACUGACGCUGAGGUGCGAAAGCGUGGGUAGCAAACAGGAUUAGAUACCCUUGUAGUC
rnacentral:rRNA from 1 species